AGAGUUUGAUCCUGGCUCAGGAUGAACGCUGGCGGCGGGUCUAACACAUGCAAGUCGAGGGUCGAUCCCACUCUUCGGAGUGGAGGAAACCGGCGAACGGGUGAGUAACACGUGAGGAACCUACCCUGUACACCGGGAUAGCCACGGGAAACCGUGAUUAAUACCGGAUGCUCCACUGCGAUCGCAUGAUCACGGUGGGAAAGCUCAGGCGGUACAGGAGGGCCUCGCGGCGUAUCAGCUAGUUGGUGAGGUAACGGCUCACCAAGGCUUCGACGCGUAGCUGGAGUGAGAGCUCGAACAGCCACACUGGGACUGAGACACGGCCCAGACUCCUACGGGAGGCAGCAGUGGAGAAUCUUGCGCAAUGGGCGAAAGCCUGACGCAGCCACGCCGCGUGCGGGAAGAAGGCCUUCGGGUCGUAAACCGCUUUCAGGAGGGAAGAAGCGAAAGUGACGGUACCUCCAGAAGAAGCCCCGGCCAACUAUGUGCCAGCAGCCGCGGUAAUACAUAGGGGGCAAGCGUUAUCCGGAAUCAUUGGGCGUAAAGCGCAUGUAGGCGGCCAUGUAAGUCGGUUGUGAAAUCUCGGGGCUCAACCCCGAAACUGCAUCCGAUACUGCAUGGCUUGAGGAAGGUAGAGGAGAGUGGAAUUCCCGGUGUAGCGGUGGAAUGCGCAGAUAUCGGGAGGAACACCAGCGGCGAAGGCGGCUCUCUGGGCCUUUCCUGACGCUGAGAUGCGAAAGUGUGGGUAGCGAACAGGAUUAGAUACCCUGGUAGUCCACACCGUAAACGAUGGGUGCUAGGUGU
rnacentral:rRNA from 1 species